rnacentral:rRNA from 1 species
UCGAGAAUCUUCCGCAAUGGACGAAAGUCUGACGGAGCGACGCCGCGUGGUGGAUGAAGCCCUUAGGGGCGUAAACACCUUUUAUGAGGGAGGAAGUUUAUUGACGUUACCUCAUGAAUAAGGGGCUCCCAACUCUGUGCCAGCAGGAGCGGUAAUACAGAGGCCCCGAGCAUUAUCCGGAUUCACUGGGCGUAAAGGGUGCGUAGGCGGUUAUAUUAGUCGGGUGUUAAAUCCUGGGGCUCAACCUCAGAAUCGCAUUCGAAACGGUAUAACUAGAAGAAGUCAGAGGUAAGCAGAACUCUCGGUGUAGGGGUGAAAUCCGUUGAUAUCGAGGGGAAUACCAAAUGCGAAGGCAGCUUACUGGGACUUUCUUGACGCUGAGGCACGAAAGCAUGGGUAGCGAACGGGAUUAGAUACCCGGGUAGUCC